GACGAACGCUGGCGGCGUGCUUAGCACAUGCAAGUCGAACGGAAAGGCCCUGCUUUUGUGGGGUGCUCGAGUGGCGAACGGGUGAGUAACACGUGAGUAACCUGCCCUUGACUUUGGGAUAACUUCAGGAAACUGGGGCUAAUACCGGAUAGGAGCUCCUGCUGCAUGGUGGGGGUUGGAAAGUUUCGGCGGUUGGGGAUGGACUCGCGGCUUAUCAGCUUGUUGGUGGGGUAGUGGCUUACCAAGGCUUUGACGGGUAGCCGGCCUGAGAGGGUGACCGGCCACAUUGGGACUGAGAUACGGCCCAGACUCCUACGGGAGGCAGCAGUGGGGAAUAUUGCACAAUGGGCGGAAGCCUGAUGCAGAAACGCCGCGUGCGGGAUGACGGCCUUCGGGUUGUAAACCGCUUUCGCCUGUGACGAAGCGUGAGUGACGGUAAUGGGUAAAGAAGCACCGGCUAACUACGUGCCAGCAGCCGCGGUGAUACGUAGGGUGCGAGCGUUGUCCGGAUUUAUUGGGCGUAAAGGGCUCGUAGGUGGUUGAUCGCGUCGGAAGUGUAAUCUUGGGGCUUAACCCUGAGCGUGCUUUCGAUACGGGUUGACUUGAGGAAGGUAGGGGAGAAUGGAAUUCCUGGUGGAGCGGUGGAAUGCGCAGAUAUCAGGAGGAACACCAGUGGCGAAGGCGGUUCUCUGGGCCUUUCCUGACGCUGAGGAGCGAAAGCGUGGGGAGCGAACAGGCUUAGAUACCCUGGUAGUCCACGCUGUAAACGGUGGGUACUAGGUGUGGGGUCCAUUCCACGGGUUCCGUGCCGUAGCUAACGCUUUAAGUACCCCGCCUGGGGAGUACGGCCGCAAGGCUAAAACUCAAAGGAAUUGACGGGGCCCCGCACAAGCGGCGGAGCAUGCGGAUUAAUUCGAUGCAACGCGUAGAACCUUACCUGGGUUUGACAUGGAUCGGGAGUGCUCAGAGAUGGGUGUGCCUCUUUUGGGGUCGGUUCACAGGUGGUGCAUGCCUGUCGUCAGCUCGUGUCGUGAGAUGUUGGGUUAAGUCCCGCAACGAGCGCAACCCUUGUUCACUGUUGCCAGCACGUUAUGGUGGGGACUCAGUGGAGACCGCCGGGGUCAACUCGGAGGAAGGUGGGGAUGACGUCAAGUCCUCAUGCCCCUUAUGUCCAGGGCUUCACGCAUGCUACAAUGGCUGGUACAGAGAGUGGCGAGCCUGUGAGGGUGAGCGAAUCUCGGAAAGCCGGUCUCAGUUCGGAUUGGGGUCUGCAACUCGACCUCAUGAAGUCGGAGUCGCUAGUAAUCGCAGAUCAGCAACGCUGCGGUGAAUACGUUCCCGGG
rnacentral:rRNA from 1 species